rnacentral:rRNA from 1 species
ACGGAGGGUGCAAGCGUUAAUCGGAAUUACUGGGCGUAAAGCGCACGCAGGCGGUCUGUCAAGUCGGAUGUGAAAUCCCCGGGCUCAACCUGGGAACUGCAUUCGAAACUGGCAGGCUUGAGUCUUGUAGAGGGGGGUAGAAUUCCAGGUGUAGCGGUGAAAUGCGUAGAGAUCUGGAGGAAUACCGGUGGCGAAGGCGGCCCCCUGGACAAAGACUGACGCUCAGGUGCGAAAGCGUGGGGAGCAAACAGGAUUAGAUACCCUGGUAGUCCACGCCGUAAACGAUGUCUACUUGGAGGUUGUGCCCUUGAGGCGUGGCUUCCGGAGCUAACGCGUUAAGUAGACCGCCUGGGGAGUACGGCCGCAAGGUUAAAACUCAAAUGAAUUGACGGGGGCCCGCACAAGCGGUGGAGCAUGUGGUUUAAUUCGAUGCAACGCGAAGAACCUUACCUGGUCUUGACAUCCACAGAAG